ACGCAGCGAAAUGCGAUAAGUAAUGUGAAUUGCAGAAUUCAGUGAAUCAUCGAAUCUUUGAACGCACCUUGCGCUCCUUGGUAUUCCGAGGAGCAUGCCUGUU
rnacentral:rRNA from 1 species